AUAUAUGCAACGAAGGAGAGCGCAUUUUACAGGCAAGCUAAAGAGAGUCGGCGGAUGGUGCAAGCCGAUGCUUCAGAGAAAAUGCUACUAGCUCCAGAGCACCGCUUUUGAAAUAGCAGUAGGAAGCGGCGGAUGGUACCGUUAAAGACCGGGACAUAGAGUGUCCAUUAAAGAGAGGCCUUCACAGGCAAUUAGGGUGGUACCGCGAGCAUACUCGUCCCUGAA
rnacentral:ncRNA from 1 species